GUGACAGCAGCCGCGGUAAUACGUAGGGUGCGAGCGUUAAUCGGAAUUACUGGGCGUAAAGCGUGCGCAGGCGGUUGUGCAAGACAGAUGUGAAAUCCCCGGGCUCAACCUGGGAACUGCAUUUGUGACUGCACGACUAGAGUACGGCAGAGGGGGGUAGAAUUCCACGUGUAGCAGUGAAAUGCGUAGAGAUGUGGAGGAAUACCGAUGGCGAAGGCAGCCCCCUGGGCCGAUACUGACGCUCAUGCACGAAAGCGUGGGGAGCAAACAGGAUUAGAAACCCUUGUAGUCC
rnacentral:rRNA from 1 species